UUUUUUUAAUUAGAUGUGUUUUUUUGUGUGCUACAGUUUGUAUGUGUAAAGAAUGCUGAUAUGAGAUUUUAAACAGAACCCAUUAACUGUUGUCAAUCAAAUGGUGAAUAAGCUGCUCUGUGGGGUUCAUAUGUUUGUAAAUCUGAUUGUGAUGAAGUCAGUGCCUCACCAGCCAUCAACCUCACCCAUGUCACUGGUGGUUCUAUAUUUAAUGUU